rnacentral:sRNA from 1 species
GUCCAGGUCGCGGCGGACCACAGCCAGACGCUCACAAGCGCCAUGGCGACAGCCGGCCAUACCAGGGUUACGAGGCCCAUCAGGCCGGCUGU